rnacentral:rRNA from 1 species
GCGGUAAUACGUAAGGUCCGAGCGUUGUCCGGAAUCAUUGGGCGUAAAGGGUACGUACGCGGGUAAGCAAGUUAGAAGUGAAAUCCUAUAGCUCAACUAUAGUAAGCUUUUAAAACUGUUUAUCUUGAGGUAUGGAAGGGAAAGUGGAAUUCCUAGUGUAGCGGUGGAAUGCGCAGAUAUUAGGAGGAAUACCGGUGGCGAAGGCGACUUUCUGGCCAUAACCUGACGCUGAGGUACGAAAGCGUGGGUAGCAAACAGGAUUAGAUACCCUGGUAGUCAAGGGCG